UUAAAGAUACUUGCGUCCAGUCCUAAAGCCGAGCGUGAUAAAACCGUCGCAGCAAAGGAGGGCGCCCCGCAGCGAUCCUGGGGGUGGUGAGAUUCCAAUGA
ncrna:unclassified sequences pemK RNA